rnacentral:tRNA from 1 species
GAGGGUAUAGCGCAGUGGUAGAGUGUGUGCUUAGCUUGUACGAGGUCCUAGGUUCAAUCCCCAGUACCUCUA